rnacentral:lncRNA from 1 species
UUUUAAGACGCCGUGGUGGCAAUUUAGGGAUUUCACCCCUGCUUUAACUCAUUGUCGUUCUUGAACAUCAAUCGCCAUGGUUCAAUGCGACCUUUCGGUACCUGUCACUCGUCAGUUCCCAUCUCCCCUAUAACCUAAUGUUCGAUUCUUAAAGCUUCCAUCAAUGGCGAUGAAUCCCAUCUCCCCUCUGGCUUGUUUUUCGUUUCUUACCUCAAUCAACCAGAUCUUGUGAGAUGGAUAGAAUGUUCAAAAAUCUAGGGUUCAAUGUCAGAAUUGCAAGGUGAAAACGAAGAUUACAAUUGAUUUGAGAUCCUCCCACGAAGAUUCACAAAUAGAUUUGAUUACAAGACCCUAAAAUCGUUCAAGUUGGGGCCAUUUGGAAUCGCAUUGAUUUGACUUGCUGUAGUCAGAGUAGACUUUGAUCCAUUCAAGUGAUAAAACUGCUACUGGAUUUGCCAUGUAGACCAGACACCAAACUACCAGGGUUGGUGACGAUGGGCUUUAAGGAUGAAAAAUGUUGAGGUAAUCACAUGGUAAAACCGAUGGCGCACUACUCUUGGAGUGUACAUAUUUCAGUACUAAAAUCACAAGUUUACACAUUCUUAUAGUGGUUUAAUCCAUGUCUUUGACCGGUAUUGUUAUAGUUUGAAGCAAAGUUGGGUAAUCGGAGAUGAUACAAUAAAUGAAACUGCAUCUUUAUAAGUUUUUGUUUGUUGGUUGCAUGAUUAUUCUUUGUUUAGUUUAUUGUUUUAAUGUUUUUCUUGUUCAUGGUUUAUAAACUAUGCAAGCACUCCUUUAUAGUUUUAACUCUCUGUAACAAGUUUCAUAUCAUAAUUUAUGUCUUCACUAAUCAGUUUCCAUAAUUUAACUUCAUCUUACAUUUACAAGCCGGUUUUCAUUUCUAUGAUCAAAGGUUAGUACAUCUUCAUUAUUUGGGAUGGUUUCACUCGCAGUACUUGAUGUACCUCCACACCGCUGAUGACGGAUGUCCCGUCUCGACUGGACCAGUACGAGGUUUGGUAUGCUGGACCAGUAGUAGGAGGUUUAGUGUGCUGUUUUACAGGGUAAGUGGUUUCAUUUGCGAUAGUUCCACUCGCGGUAGUUGAUGUACUUCCGUCCUGCCUCGGGUGGACCAGUAGGAGGUGUGGUGCACUGGAUCAAUAAGGGGUUUGGUGGCUGGUGCACCAAUCCUCCAUCGUCAUAUCGACCUCCUUGGGCCAUUAGACAAAUAGGUAUUAACCAUGAGACCUUGAGCCAGAACUUAAAUAUGUAUAUAGAUAGUGACACCAAGGAGAUGACAAACAAGACAUAAAAUUAUUACCUGUUACUGGCAUAUGUCAUUAGCAUUCUUAUUAACUUUAAAUGAGUACCGCCUUUAAAAUUGCGGUUUGAGUGUGGAAUGAAAUCUGUUCCAAAUCUAUACAAAAACACUUCGUAAGCAAUUUAAGAUCAGACCAUUAUUUCUUGUAGUUUGAACUGAUGAUCAUGAUCUUUGAAACUAAAAAAAAGAAACACAUCUCUUUAUUUAAUAGCUUCAUCUAUUAUGCACCUUUGAUAUUGUAAUAUUUUUGUAUGUUCAUCAAUAACAUCGUUACUGUCAUAUGUCAUUAGCAUUCUUAUUAAAUUUAAAUGAGUAUUGACUUUAAAAUUGCAGUUUGAGUGUGGAAUGAAAUCUGUCCAAAAACACUUCAUAUAUAACGUUAAAAACAAAGAUCGAAAGGUAGGAAAGAGUGGAAUAACGCCGGUGUCCGGCGAGAGGAAGGUGUAAAGUGGGCAUUUCGUUGUAGAGUGCUUUUUUUUGACGUAUUGAAUUUGGCAGAAACUACACACGAAAGGGUAUAAAAGACACCCCCAAGUCCAAAAAUUUAAGAAGAUGGUCUGCUGCUGCAAUACUUUCAAAAAAGAAGGCUUUGCUACUUGUCAGAAAACUUAAAAAUUCCUUGCAUGCAAACAGCAAAUUGCAUAGGAUUUUAUAUUGAUUUGUUGUUUUUGAGUGGCAUGGAAAGAUGUUCGUGGCAUCAUCUACUUGAAUGAACUUCAAGUAUCAAAUUCUCAUCUUCUUUCUUUAUUUUGUUUAUGAUUUACUGAAUUUUAUAUGUGAUUACUUUAUGAGCAGACACGUACUUAUCUUGCUAUUGAGGCAAAAUAUGAGAUGGAAAUUUGAUAGUCCGUAUAAUUUUCUGUGAUAUAAGCUGGGACACCCACCGCAACGCGCGGGCAUUCUCAUUUAUAAUAAUAAUAUCCAAAUAUAAUGAAUAUUUAAGGCAUGCCGGGAUAGAUUCUGAUAUCCAAAAGAGACUUGGUGUUACCCGCCGCAUCGCGUGGGCCAACCCACUAUACUAUAUAAUACAUUUCCUAUGUACUACUGAAACGUAAUUUUCCCUUGAAAUUUUAAGAUGGCAGACGAAGAGUCAAGCCUUCGAAUAUGCAAGAAACGUAAUCUUAACCGGAUCCAGAGGUUCUUUCAGGGGCUGGCUUGUUGAAUAACUUGAAGACGUUUAGGUCGCCGCUGACGCCUUAAAACAUCCGAACCGGCCGGAUAGAAUACCAUGCUCUAAGAUCACAUGGCCUCCUAUUGAUUUUGGCAAGUAUGUAACACAU